rnacentral:rRNA from 1 species
UACGGAGGAUGCAAGCGUUAUCCGGAUUUAUUGGGUUUAAAGGGUGCGUAGGCGGCGCGCUAAGUCAGGGGUGAAAGACGGUGGCUCAACCAUCGCAGUGCCUUUGAUACUGGUGCGCUUGAAUGCGGAUGAGGUAGGCGGAAUGUGGCAAGUAGCGGUGAAAUGCAUAGAUAUGCCACAGAACACCGAUUGCGAAGGCAGCUUACCAAGGCGCGAUUGACGCUGAUGCACGAAAGCAUGGGUAUCGAAUGGG